UCUUCGAAGGUACCUACUUAUUUGAACCCUAAUUACCAAAACUCCAAGAGAAGUCAAUAAAAAUUAUGUCCGGACAGGCGCAGUUUCUUCUCUAGUUUUGGCCAAGCGCAGUUUGAGCGGGAUCAUUCCUCAUUGGCAGUGGAAAGACGAGUGGCCGUAGCGCCUUGCUGCCAUGUUCUACUAAGUUGAGAGGCGUGUUGAAGAACUUUAAAUUAACUACUUCCUUGGACUGAAAGAUACAGUACAAUGGAAAAAAUCGAAACCCGAUUCAAACAGUGAACACUAACCAUCCUAAUUUAUUUUCGACGUAACAAUGAAGGUGCAGCAGCUUUUCCAAUAAUGUAUUUCAACAAGGAUAGUUCUCAAGUGACUUUCUGGCAAUCCAUCAAAAAGAAGAUAUCGAUAAAUCCGCUCAGUAACGAGGUUGCACUCCACCAUUUUUUAUAAUAAUAUGAAGUAUCCUCAACUGGUGUCAAUGCCUUCGGCAGUCUCAGAUUGGCUACAAGGACAGUUAGAAGCUCGUGGAAUUGACGCUGUUCUUUAUACUCGUUAUGUUCUCAGUUUGCUCCACUCUCAUCCAGUAGACUUAAUUUAUCAAGACGAUUUGGAGCUUUCUCACUUGAAGAAGGUACGAAGGGUUCUCUCUUGGGUUUAUGUCUAAUUUUCUUACUUAAAAGUUUCUUGGUGAUCGGUUUUU